AGAGUUUGAUCAUGGCUCAGGACGAACGCUGGCGGCGUGCUUAACACAUGCAAGUCGAACGAAAAGACGGAAAGAGCUUGCUCUUUUCAGAAUUGAGUGGCAAACGGGUGAGUAACACGUAAACAACCUGCCUUCAGGAUGGGGACAACAGACGGAAACGACUGCUAAUACCGAAUAAGUUCCAAGGGCCGCAUGGCCCAUGGAAGAAAAGGUGGCCUCUACCUGUAAGCUAUCGCCUGAAGAGGGGUUUGCGUCUGAUUAGCUGGUUGGAGGGGUAACGGCCCACCAAGGCGACGAUCAGUAGCCGGUCUGAGAGGAUGAACGGCCACACUGGAACUGAGACACGGUCCAGACUCCUACGGGAGGCAGCAGUGGGGAAUCUUCCGCAAUGGGCGAAAGCCUGACGGAGCAACGCCGCGUGAGUGAUGACGGCCUUCGGGUUGUAAAACUCUGUGAUCCGGGACGAAAAGGCAGAGUGCGAAGAACAAACUGCAUUGACGGUACCGGAAAAGCAAGCCACGGCUAACUACGUGCCAGCAGCCGCGGUAAUACGUAGGUGGCAAGCGUUGUCCGGAAUUAUUGGGCGUAAAGCGCGCGCAGGCGGCUUCCCAAGUCCCUCUUAAAAGUGCGGGGCUUAACCCCGUGAUGGGAAGGAAACUGGGAAGCUGGAGUAUCGGAGAGGAAAGUGGAAUUCCUAGUGUAGCGGUGAAAUGCGUAGAGAUUAGGAAGAACACCGGUGGCGAAGGCGACUUUCUGGACGAAAACUGACGCUGAGGCGCGAAAGCGUGGGGAGCAAACAGGAUUAGAUACCCUGGUAGU
rnacentral:rRNA from 1 species